AUUGAACGCUGGCGGCAGGCCUAACACAUGCAAGUCGAGCGAGCGGCGGACGGGUGAGUAAUGUAUGGGGACUGCCCGAUAGAGGGGGAUAACUACUGGAAACGGUGGCUAAUACCGCAUACUAUCGGAUAACCCAUAUGGGAUUAUCUAGUAGGUGGGGUAAAGGCUCACCUGGGCGACGAUCUCUAGCUGGUCUGAGAGGAUGAUCAGCCACACUGGGACGGAGACACGGCCCAGACUCUUACGGAGGCAGCAUGGGGGAACAUUGCACAAUGGGCGAAAGCCUGAUGCAGCCAGGCCGGGUGUAUGAAGAAGGCCUUAGGGUUGUAAAGUACUUUCAGCCGGGAGGCGUUACCGACAGAAGAAGCACCGGCUAACUACGUGCCAGCAGCCGCGGUAAUAC
rnacentral:rRNA from 1 species